UGGAUUAGGACUUCUGAAGCUACUCUGAAUGUAUUUCACAUAGUGAGCAACAGGUUUGUUAUUGUUAGAAGUAGAAGUUGCCCCUGAGGAAUGGGAGGAGGCUGGCAGAUGUCAUGAUGCUAAAUCAGAUUCAUUUUCUGCCUGGGCACCACUGACCAAGCGCUGAAACUGGGAGCCAAAUAAGCAUGUCCUUACUGAAGGAUAAAACUCCUGGCUCCUGGAAAAUUACUAAGAAGAAAAGGAGAAAGGUAAAAUACUUCCUUACCAAAAAAUUCAAAUGAUCCAUCUGUACAGAGCUUCUACCCUUCAUGAAGUACAGUUUCAUCCUCCACUUGAAUGUGAGACAUGCCUAGUCAUGUACUGCCAAACAGUAAAGUAUAGAAAGAGAAAACAAUGAUCUUCACUGUGAGAAUACCUGUCAUACUCAGCCUUAACCAAGUGAUGAAGGCCUACACCAUCAGAGCAGGCAGGAGUGCUAUCCAUAAAUUUGAACUCAAGUUUGAAGAUCUGAGACAAAGCCAUCUUUGAGGCCAGACGCAAGCAAGAGCCCAUAAAACCAAGAGGAAGUUCCAAAAUAAUGGAGAAGGACUGAGAACAAGAUAAAAAAAAAUUAUUUGAACCACAUCUGAUCAAGUAUUGAACAUAAUGAAUCUUAAAAAGAGGGUCUGUUCAGGCAAUGAGACAGGAAGCGGAUGGCGGUGCCCCCUGUCGUACCUCCAGUAUUACAGCCUUAGUUCCAAUGUGGGGUUGCCUCAGUGCACAGACCUACACAUCGUGGUGAACAUGGCUGGUGAUUGCUUUGCUGCACUGAGCUGUUCUUGGAUGCUGGAUCUGCUGCUGGGCUGCAGUUCACUUUUUAACCCAUGUUUUAAAAAGCAUAGGGUUACCUUGUAGUUAUUUCAUAAUCAGAAUGUGACAAUCAUGUUUUUGCAUAUUGUCGAAACCUAAUUUUUCUUAUUGAAAGAGUAGAUUUCUCAUCACAGAUCUGCCUCUCAGGAUAUUUUACAUGGGAAGUGAGAAACAGGGUGGAAGAUCACCUCUCAUUUGUUCAUUUACUCCUAAGUGGCAUUUCUGGAAAUAAAAUUCUUCAUUUUAUUUGUUGCCUCCAUUGACUUAGCCCAUCCAGUGAAACAAAGUUUAGCAGUACUAGGAAAUAUAACAUUCCUGGUAAUCGCCAUUUGCCAACUAAUACAAAGUUGUCACUUGUCGUUUUAAGAAAUCAAAUGCUUAUCAUCCAUAAUAUCUGAUACAUGUUGUCUCCUUUCCCCCUCUCCAUUGAUGAAUUCAUA